GCGCGCGGGGGGCCGGGCUGCGGGCGGCCGUUGGCCGGCUGCACGUUCCCGCGCCUGCCGAGGGGAGGCUGGCGCGCGCUGCCCCUUACCGGCCAUCACGUGCUUUAAUCCCAGCUUGUCUGGCUAAAACUGUGCCUACUAAACAAUGGCAUCCUAGAUUAAAAACUGCAUGGCAAAUGUGCAGCUGCUCAAUGACAGCGACCACUAAUAAGAGCAGUCUUCUCAACGAAGAUAUACGCCACCCUCCCCAGCCUCUGCCCCCCCAGUGGAACACUGCUCCCUUGGGGGAAGGAUUCCUUGGUCACCCUCCAGCUCCAGUUUGGCUGAGUCCCUCCACAGCUAGCUAAACUCAGCAUAGAGACAAACUCAUCCAGCCUUGUGGGACCUGUGCGGGUAAGUCUGCUACAGCCGCAUAUACCUUAGCUGUCUAGUGCUUCAUUAACAGCUGACCCGUAAAAAAACUGUGUGCCCAGGACAUAGGGAAGUUGGCCCUG